rnacentral:rRNA from 1 species
UACGUAGGUGGCAAGCGUUGUCCGGAAUUAUUGGGCGUAAAGGGUGCGCAGGCGGUCUCUUAAGUCUGUCUUAAAAGUGCGGGGCUUAACCCCGUGAGGGGACGGAAACUGGGAGACUGGAGUAUCGGAGAGGAAAGCAGAAUUCCUAGUGUAGCGGUGAAAUGCGUAGAUAUUAGGAGGAAUACCAGUGGCGAAAGCGGCUUUCUGGACGACAACUGACGCUGAGGCACGAAAGCCAGGGGAGCGAACGGG